rnacentral:rRNA from 1 species
GAUGAACGCUGGCGGCGUGCCUAAUACAUGCAAGUCGAGCGAACAGACGAGGAGCUUGCUCCUCUGACGUUAGCGGCGGACGGGUGAGUAACACGUGGAUAACCUACCUAUAAGACUGGGAUAACUUCGGGAAACCGGAGCUAAUACCGGAUAAUAUAUUGAACCGCAUGGUUCAAUAGUGAAAGACGGUUUUGCUGUCACUUAUAGAGGGAUCCGCGCCGCAUUAGGUGGUUGGUAGGGUAACGGCUUACCAAGGCAACGAUGCGUAGCCGACCUGAGAGAGUGGUCGGCCACACUGGAACUGGGACACGGUCCAGACUCCUACGGGAGGCAGCAGUAGGGAAUCUUCCGCAAUGGGCGAAAGCCUGACGGAGCAACGCCGCGUGAGUGGUGAAGGUCUUCGGAUCGUAAAACUCUGUUAUUAGGGAAGAACAAAUGUGUAAGUAACUAUGCACGUCUUGACGGUACCUAAUCAGAAAGCCACGGCUAACUACGUG